rnacentral:rRNA from 1 species
GACGAAGGGGGCAAGCGUUGUUCGGAUUUACUGGGCGUAAAGGGCGCGUAGGCGGUCAGCACAAGUCAGUUGUGAAAUCUCCGGGCUUAACUCGGAAAGGUCAACUGAUACUGUGCGACUAGAGUGCGGAAGGGGCAACUGGAAUUCUCGGUGUAGCGGUGAAAUGCGUAGAUAUCGAGAGGAACACCUGCGGCGAAGGCGGGUUGCUGGGCCGACACUGACGCUGAUGCGCGAAAGCCAGGGGAGCGAACGGG